CUACGGGACGCAGCAGUGGGGAAUAUUGCACAAUGGAGGAAACUCUGAUGCAGCAACGCCGCGUGGAGGAUGACACAUUUCGGUGCGUAAACUCCUUUUAUAUGAGAAGAUAAUGACGGUAUCAUAUGAAUAAGCUCCGGCUAACUCCGUGCCAGCAGCCGCGGUAAUACGGGGGGAGCAAGCGUUACUCGGAAUCACUGGGCGUAAAGAGCAUGUAGGCUGAUAGAUAAGUUGGAAGUGAAAUCCUAUGGCUUAACCAUAGAACUGCUUCCAAAACUGUCUGUCUAGAAUAUGGGAGAGGUAGAUGGAAUUUCUGGUGUAGGGGUAAAAUCCGUAGAGAUCAGAAGGAAUACCGAUUGCGAAGGCGAUCUACUGGAACAUAAUUGACGCUGAGAUGCGAAAGCGUGGGGAGCAAACAGGAUUAGAUACCCCGGUAGUC
rnacentral:rRNA from 1 species